CGGGGUCGGGAAGAUCGGCGGCUGACCCUCUGCUGAGGGGUCCCGGCGGGCGGCACGCCCACCGGGACCCCGUUCCGUUUCCGGGGGACGCCGCCC
rnacentral:tRNA from 1 species